UAGGGAAUAUUAGAAAUGGACGAAAGUCUGAUCUAGCAACACCGCGUGUGCGAAGAAGGCCUUCGGGUUGUAAAGCACUUUUUGGAAGGAUUAGGAAGGAAUGUACUUUCAGAAUAAGCUUCGGCUAACUACGUGCCAGCAGCCGCGGUAAAACGUAGGAAGCGAGCGUUAUCCGGAUUUACUGGGCGUAAGGCGUGUGUAGGCGGUUUGACAAGUUGGAUGUGAAAGCUCCUGGCUUAACUGGGAGAGGUCGUUCAAAACUGUCAGACUUGAGAGUGGUAGAGGGAGGUGGAAUUCCGGGUGUAGUGGUGAAAUGCGUAGAUAUCCGGAGGAACACCAGUGGCGAAAGCGGCCUCCUGGCCCAUUUCUGACGCUCAGACACGAAAGCUAAGGUAGCAAACG
rnacentral:rRNA from 1 species